UACGUAGGGGGCAAGCGUUGUCCGGAAUCAUUGGGCGUAAAGGGUGCGUAGGCGGCGCGGUAAGUCGGGUGUGAAAUCUCGGGGCUUAACUCCGAAACUGCAUUCGAUACUGCCGUGCUUGAGGACUGGAGAGGAGACUGGAAUUCAUGGUGUAGCAGUGAAAUGCGUAGAGAUCAUGAGGAAGACCAGUGGCGAAGGCGGGUCUCUGGACAGUUCCUGACACUGAGGCACGAAGGCCAGGGGAGCAAACGGG
rnacentral:rRNA from 1 species